rnacentral:rRNA from 1 species
UACGUAGGUGGCAAGCGUUAUCCGGAAUUAUUGGGCGUAAAGCGCGCGCAGGUGGUUUCUUAAGUCUGAUGUGAAAGCCCACGGCUCAACCGUGGAGGGUCAUUGGAAACUGGGAGACUUGAGUGCAGAAGAGGAAAGCGGAAUUCCACGUGUAGCGGUGAAAUGCGUAGAGAUGUGGAGGAACACCAGUGGCGAAGGCGGCUUUCUGGUCUGUAACUGACGCUGAGGCGCGAAAGCGUGGGGAGCAAACAGG